GAUGAAGAACGUAGCGAAAUGCGAUAAGUAGUGUGAAUUGCAGAAUUCAGUGAAUCAUCGAAUCUUUGAACGCACAUUGCGCCCUCUGGUAUUCCGGAGGGCAUGCCUGUUCGAGCGUCAUUAAAACUACUCAAGCUAAGGUUUUACCUUCUGCUUGGUCUUGGGUUUGAGGAUUCAAAAUCCUCUCUCCGAAAUCCAGUGGCGAAUUGUUUGAGCUGUAGACGUAGUAAAUCAUUCUACCCGUUGCAAGCGAGAAUAAUAUUCAGCCAUAACCCCCAUACGUUUCUAGUUUGACCUCGGAUCAGGUAGGGAUACCCGCUGAACUUAAGCAUAUCAAUAAGCGGAGGA
rnacentral:misc_RNA from 1 species